AUACUGAUGAAGAGUCCAAAACUAGGACGAAACAGCUGUCCAGUAC
rnacentral:hammerhead_ribozyme from 1 species